AUUAUGGCUCAGGAUGAACGCUAGCGGCAGGCUUAACACAUGCAAGUCGAGGGGCAGCGCGAGUAGCAAUACUUGGCGGCGACCGGCGCAAGGGUGCGUAACGCGUGAGCAACAUGCCCGUAUCAGGGGGAUAAUCCAGGGAAACUUGGUCUAAUACCCCAUAGUAAUUUUGUAAGGCAUCUUAUAAGAUUUAAAGCUUUGGUGGAUACGGAUUGGCUCGCGUGACAUUAGCUGGAUGGUAAGGUAACGGCUUACCAUGGCUAUGAUGUCUAGGGGUUCUGAGAGGAAGGUCCCCCACACUGGAACUGAGACACGGUCCAGACUCCUACGGGAGGCAGCAGUGAGGAAUAUUGGACAAUGGAUGGAAAUCUGAUCCAGCCAUGCCGCGUGAAGGAAAGAAGGUCCUAUGGAUUGUAAACUUCUUUUGUAUGGGAGCAAUAAGGCCUACGAGUAGGUUGAUGAGAGUACCAUACGAAUAAGCACCGGCUAACUCCGUGCCAGCCGCUGC
rnacentral:rRNA from 1 species